CCGAUAGUGAACCAGUACCGUGAGGGAAAGGCGAAAAGAACCCCGGCGAGGGGAGUGAAAAAGAACCUGAAACCGUGUACGUACAAGCAGUGGGAGCACAGGUUUACCUGUGUGACUGCGUACCUUUUGUAUAAUGGGUCAGCGACUUAUAUUCUGUAGCAAGGUUAACCGCAUAGGGGAGCCGGAGGGAAACCGAGUCUUAAUUGGGCGUUAAGUUGCAGGGUAUAGACCCGAAACCCGGUGAUCUAGCCAUGGGCAGGUUGAAGGUUGGGUAACACUAACUGGAGGACCGAACCGACUAAUGUUGAAAAAUUAGCGGAUGACCUGUGGCUGGGGGUGAAAGGCCAAUCAAACCGGGAGAUAGCUGGUUCUCCCCGAAAGCUAUUUAGGUAGCGCCUCGUGAAUUCAUCUCCGGGGGUAGAGCACUGUUUCGGCUAGGGGGCCAUCCCGGCUUACCAACCCGAUGCAAACUGCGAAUACCGGAGAAUGUUAUCACGGGAGACACACGGCGGGUGCUAACGUCCGUCGUGAAGAGGGAAACAACCCAGACCGCCAGCUAAGGUCCCAAAGUCAUGGUUAAGUGGGAAACGAUGUGGGAAGGCCCAGACAGCCAGGAUGUUGGCUUAGAAGCAGCCAUCAUUUAAAGAAAGCGUAAUAGCUCACUGGUCGAGUCGGCCUGCGCGGAAGAUGUAACGGGGCUAAACCAUGCACCGAAGCUGCGGCAGCGACACUGUGUGUUGUUGGGUAGGGGAGCGUUCUGUAAGCCUGUGAAGGUGGCCUGUGAGGGUUGCUGGAGGUAUCAGAAGUGCGAAUGCUGACAUAAGUAACGAUAAAGCGGGUGAAAAGCCCGCUCGCCGGAAGACCAAGGGUUCCUGUCCAACGUUAAUCGGGGCAGGGUGAGUCGACCCCUAAGGCGAGGCCGAAAGGCGUAGUCGAUGGGAAACGGGUUAAUAUUCCCGUACUUGGUGUUACUGCGAAGGGGGGACGGAGAAGGCUAUGUUGGCCGGGCGACGGUUGUCCCGGUUUAAGCGUGUAGGUGUGUGUUCCAGGUAAAUCCGGUUCACUUUAACACUGAGGCGUGACGACGAGGCACUACGGUGCUGAAGCAACAAAUGCCCUGCUUCCAGGAAAAGCCUCUAAGCAUCAGGUAACAUCAAAUCGUACCCCAAACCGACACAGGUGGUCAGGUAGAGAAUACCAAGGCGCUUGAGAGAACUCGGGUGAAGGAACUAGGCAAAAUGGUGCCGUAACUUCGGGAGAAGGCACGCUGACACGUAGGUGAAGUGAUUUACUCAUGGAGCUGAAGUCAGUCGAAGAUACCAGCUGGCUGCAACUGUUUAUUAAAAACACAGCACUGUGCAAACAUGAAAGUGGACGUAUACGGUGUGACGCCUGCCCGGUGCCGGAAGGUUAAUUGAUGGGGUCAGCGCAAGCGAAGCUCCUGAUCGAAGCCCCGGUAAACGGCGGCCGUAACUAUAACGGUCCUAAGGUAGCGAAAUUCCUUGUCGGGUAAGUUCCGACCUGCACGAAUGGCGUAAUGAUGGCCAGGCUGUCUCCACCCGAGACUCAGUGAAAUUGAACUCGCUGUGAAGAUGCAGUGUACCCGCGGCAAGACGGAAAGACCCCGUGAACCUUUACUAUAGCUUGACACUGAACAUUGAGCCUUGAUGUGUAGGAUAGGUGGGAGGCUUUGAAGUGUGGACGCCAGUCUGCAUGGAGCCGACCUUGAAAUACCACCCUUUAAUGUUUGAUGUUCUAACGUGGACCCGUAAUCCGGGUUGCGGACAGUGUCUGGUGGGUAGUUUGACUGGGGCGGUCUCCUCCUAAAGAGUAACGGAGGAGCACGAAGGUUGGCUAAUCCUGGUCGGACAUCAGGAGGUUAGUGCAAUGGCAUAAGCCAGCUUGACUGCGAGCGUGACGGCGCGAGCAGGUGCGAAAGCAGGUCAUAGUGAUCCGGUGGUUCUGAAUGGAAGGGCCAUCGCUCAACGGAUAAAAGGUACUCCGGGGAUAACAGGCUGAUACCGCCCAAGAGUUCAUAUCGACGGCGGUGUUUGGCACCUCGAUGUCGGCUCAUCACAUCCUGGGGCUGAAGUAGGUCCCAAGGGUAUGGCUGUUCGCCAUUUAAAGUGGUACGCGAGCUGGGUUUAGAACGUCGUGAGACAGUUCGGUCCCUAUCUGCCGUGGGCGCUGGAGAACUGAGGGGGGCUGCUCCUAGUACGAGAGGACCGGAGUGGACGCAUCACUGGUGUUCGGGUUGUCAUGCCAAUGGCACUGCCCGGUAGCUAAAUGCGGAAGAGAUAAGUGCUGAAAGCAUCUAAGCACGAAACUUGCCCCGA
rnacentral:rRNA from 1 species